AUUGAACGCUGGCGGCAUGCCUUACACAUGCAAGUCGAACGGUAACGGGCCUUCGGGUGCCGACGAGUGGCGAACGGGUGAGUAAUGCAUCGGAACGUACCUUUCAGUGGGGGAUAACGUAGCGAAAGUUACGCUAAUACCGCAUAUUCUGUGAGCAGGAAAGCAGGGGAUCGCAAGACCUUGCGCUGAUUGAGCGGCCGAUGUCAGAUUAGCUAGUUGGUGAGGUAAAGGCUCACCAAGGCGACGAUCUGUAGCGGGUCUGAGAGGAUGAUCCGCCACACUGGAACUGAGACACGGUCCAGACUCCUACGGGAGGCAGCAGUGGGGAAUUUUGGACAAUGGGGGGCAACCCUGAUCCAGCCAUGCCGCGUGAGUGAAGAA
rnacentral:rRNA from 1 species